UACGGGGGGGGGCAAGCGUUGUUCGGAAUUACUGGGCGUAAAGGGCUCGUAGGCGCCAACUAAGUCAGACGUGAAAUCCCCAGCUCAACCUGGGAACUGCGUCUGAUACUGGUUGGCUUGAAUCCGGGAGAGGGAUGCAGAAUUCCAGGUGUAGCGGUGAAAUGCGUAGAUAUCUGGAGGAAUACCGGUGGCGAAGGCGGCAUCCUGGAC
rnacentral:rRNA from 1 species